rnacentral:rRNA from 1 species
ACGGAGGGUGCAAGCGUUACUCGGAAUCACUGGGCGUAAAGAGCGUGUAGGCGGGUUUGUAAGUUUGAAGUGAAAUCCAAUGGCUCAACCAUUGAACUGCUUUGAAAACUGCUUACCUAGAAUAUGGGAGAGGUAGAUGGAAUUUCUGGUGUAGGGGUAAAAUCCGUAGAGAUCAGAAGGAAUACCGAUUGCGAAGGCGAUCUACUGGAACAUUAUUGACGCUGAGACGCGAAAGCGUGGGGAGCAAACAG